ACAAAAUUAACGCCUACAAUCGGGGCGUGCUUUUAGCCCAGUCGCUGUAGUACUCGCCUUUUAACUUGAAGGUCUGUAGUUCCAAACUCUUGGAUGGAAACUACGACUCUUCCAAUUCUAGUCAAUAGAGGGCGCCACCACUCGAUUUUCUCAUGAAUAUCUAUGUAGCGGGUCUCUACAAAUACUUUAGAAGUUUUGAAAGAAAUCAGUGAUGCAGCAAUUUAUAGAUGCAAGCACGCUUAUUUAUUUAUAGAAAUACGUAUAUUCUGCGUUCAGAAAUGCAUCUGAUAUUUGAAAUUUAGUUUUUAUUUCUAAAGUUUAUAAAAACAAUUGUAACGAACUAUUGCUUGUUUUAUCUCCUAACAUGAAAGGCAAUCAUUUGGAAACAUGAAGAACAGCUGUGGUGAGACCUCGGUCAAAGACACGUUUUUGAGAUGCUGAUUCUUGUGGAAUGGAGUGCUGGAAGAAAUCGUUUUACAUUAGUCCAGCUUUUUUUUUUUAUGAAUCCUCAUAUAGAAUUUAAAUGAGUUUCUUCACCGAUGAUCUGAAAUAUCUGCUACGUUAAAAAAAAAAAAAAAAAAAAAAAAGAA